CAUUGAAAAAAGGAAAAAAAGCCCCUUGUUCUGUUCCCCUUCAUUGUCUGCCUCAGAAAUGGAUUCUUUAGUGUUACACUACCAAUUCAGCAAGAAUGGUGGGCUCCUCAACUAGCCCCCACGCUUCCUGGUCCCUUUCCUUAAACACCGGU